rnacentral:rRNA from 1 species
GAACUUUCAACAACGGAUCUUCUUGUCUCUAGCAUCGAUGAAAACGCAGCGAAAUCGAUAAGUAAUGUGAAUUGCAGAAUCAGUGAAUAUCGAAUCUCUUUGAACGCACAUUGCGCCUGCAGUAUUCUGGCACGGCUGCCUGUUCCGCGCUCAUUUCACCACUCAAGCUCUGCUUGGUUUGGAGACCCGCGUUUAGUCGCGGCCCCCGAAAUGCAUCGGCUGUGAUAACAAGUUCCCUGUGUAGGUAAAUGCUUAGCUUUACACUUUUGAAACUUUACUCAUAACAUGCACCGGAAAACCCUCAAACUUUUUGAAAAGAGUACCUCCGAUCGUCAGAAAUACCGCUGAACUUAAGAUCAUCAAUAAGCGGAGGGAAAAGAACCAACCAGGAUUCCCUAGUAACGGCGAGCGAAGCGGCAACAGCUCAAUUUGAAAAAUCUAGGCUAUUUUAGUAUCCGAGUUGAAUUGUAGAGGAUUGCUUUUGGGAGGUGCCUUCCGAGUUCCCUGGUAACGGAACGCCAGAGAGGGUAAGCCCGUACGUUGAUACCAUAACCUUGUUUUAUAGCUCCACGAGUCAGUAAGUUAGUCUGUAAUGCUUCUCUUAAAGGGAGUAUAUCUCGCUAACUAAAUAUAGGCUAUAGACCGAAUAGCGCACAAGUAGAGUGAUCAAAGAUGAAAAAGCCACUUAUGAAACAGAAAGAGAGUUUAAAACCAGCACGUUGAAAUUGAUUAAAGGGAAGCGCCUAAAGACCAGACUUGUUCUUCUCAGUUUUGUUAGUUUCGGACGAAUUUACUCUUAUACAGCCCAGCAUCAGUUUGUUGUCAGGGGAGAAAAAAGGCUUAGCGAAUUUGCUCUUAGGGAUGUAUAUAGCCCUUUGUCAUAAUACCUUCGGCAGACUGAGACCGCGCUUCGCAAGGGCUGCGUAAUGCGUCAUCAAGCGACCGUCUUAUAACACGGAGCAAGGAGUCAACCUUAUGCGAGUGUUGGUGUAAAAACCCCAGCGCGAUGAACUGAACGUAUGAGAGCCUUCGGCGCAUCAUCGACCGAUUCUGAUGUUCUCGGAAUGUCUUGAGUAAGAGCACACGGGUUGACCGAAAGUAAGUGAACUAUCUUGUAUAGGUGAAGGCCAAGGAAACUCUGGUGGAGGCUCGCAGCGGUUUCUGACGUGCAAAUCGGAUCGUCAAAAUAUGAGCAUGGGACGAACAGACUAAUCGAACCUUCUAAGUAGCUCGUUUCCAGCCGAAGUCCUCAGAUAGCCCCAUGUUGAACUUCAGUUUUAUAGUAAAUCGAAUGAUUAGGGAUCGUUCGAGCGCUAUAUAUUGCCUUCAUCCUUCUCAAACUUAAAUCAUGUAAUGAAGCCCUUGUACCUUAAUGAACUAUGGCAUUCGAAUAUGAUCAACAUAGUGUGGCCAUUUUGGUAAGCAAUACUGGCGAUGCUGGGAUGAACGAUCGCGUGAUAAGGCCCAGAGUGAACGCUCAUCAGACACCACAAAAGGUUGUAGUACAUCUGACAGCCAGAACGUGGCCAAUGAAUGGAAUCCGACUAAGGACUGCUUGUAACAACUCACUAGCCGAAUGUACUAGCCUGUGAAAAUGAUGCGCUCAAAGCGUUCCGCCCUACCACGAACCCCAGUAGGAUUACUAUGCCCUGAGGAGACGGGCUGGCGUGAGUUCUGACGAGCUCUUAGGCUGUUGAGCCCGGUCGAACGCUCUAGAUGCAUCUGUGUGUAGCAAAUAUUCAAGAGAUCUUGAAGGACCGACAGUGAUGAAGUACCAUAUAACACGGUGGAUGGGUAGCCGAUCCUAGCCAUAGGAAGUUCCUUUUCAAAUGGGCACUCUUGCCCGAUAUGGCAAAGGGAAGCCGUCACAUAUUCCGGCGCCUUCGAUGGUUUGGCAGCAACGCAAACUGAACGGGAGACGACGCGGGGGCCUGAAAUUCUCUUUUCUUUUACAGGUCUAGCGACCCUGAAUCGUUGUCCGGGAGAUAGGUUUCCAACGGCUGGAAGAGCUCAGCCUUCUGCUUUGAGUCCGGGGCGCCUCGACACAUCCUUGGAAAAAUCCACGGGGAAAAUCUCCCGGCCAGAUCGCUACUCAUAACCCGCAUCAGUUCUCCAAGGUUGAACGAGCCUGCUGGAUAGAAUAAUCGUAAUAAGGAAGUCGCAAAUCAGAUCCGUAACUUCUGGAUAAGGGAUUGGGCUCUAGACCUGAGUAUUGGGCUCAUAAUUGACAAGCCUUAAGCAGCAUGACAGUCACGAGCCUGCACGCGGGGACAGUCAGCACCGAGUGACGCCAUUGCAGGCUUCGCCGUCCGUACUCGAUUAAUCAUUCAACUAGAACUGUGACGGACAAGGGAUCUGACUGUUCUAAUUAAACAAGACAUUGCGAUGAGCCAAGAAAGCUGGUGUCUGGCGCAAUGUGAUUUCUGCCCAGGUCUGAAUGUCAAGUGAUGGAUUCAAGACAAGCGCGGGUAACGCGGGAGUAAAACUAUGACUCUCUUAAGUAACAAUGCUCUCAUCUAAUUAUACGCGCGAUGAAUUGAUCAACGAAUUCCACUGUCCCUAUCUACCAUCUAGCGCAACAAGCCAAGGGUAACAGGGUCUUUGACAGAAUUCAGCGGGUAAAAGAAGAACCCUGUUGAGCUUACUCUAAUUGACAUGGUGAAAAGACAUAAGAGGUGUAAAUAGUGGGAGCUUCCGGCAAACAGUAAUACUAACUACUCUGAUUGUUUUUACCUAUUUUCAAUUUUUGUAAAAGCGAGGGCGACUAUCGUCAACUUUCUGUGUAAGUCCUAUCCGGCCGACCCGCGAUUUGAAGACCAUUGUCAGGGCGGAGUUUGCUGGGUGCAAUACUGUUAAACCCAUACGCAGGUUCCUAAGACGGGGCUCAUGGAGAACAGAAAUCUCCAGUAGAACAAAAGUGGUAAAAGUCCCCUUGAUUCUGAUUUUCAUGUGAAUACAAACCAUGAAAGUUGGGCCUAUCCAUCUUUAAAACCCUCGAUAUCUGAGGUCAUAUAGGUGCCAGAAAAUUACCACAGGGAUAUAACUGGCUGUCGGCAAGCGAUUCAUAGCGACAAUCAGCUUUUUAUCAUCCUUCGAUGUCGGCUCUUCCUUCAUACCGACAGCAGAAUUCGGUAAGCGUUUGAUUGUUCACCCACUAAUAGGGAAACGUGAGCUGGUUUAGACCGUCGUGAGACAGCGUUAUUUUCCUACUGAGAACUCGCCGACCAAUGGAAUUCAGCUAGUACAGAGGGAACGCUGAUUCAGAUAAUUGGUUUUUGCGGCGUCGACCGGCGUGCGCGAAGCUACCACUGCUGGAUAAGGACUGACGCUCUAAGUCAGAAUCCAUGCCAGAAACGCGAUACUCCGCACGUUUAGAUGGACAAGAAUAGGCUCCGGCUUAGUGUCUUAGCAGGCGAAUGUUCACUUCUCUUGAAGUGAGUUGUGGUAUUCGCGUAUUGUAAUUCAAUUCGAGGCGGGGUCGAUCCUCUGCAGACGACUUUGAUGUGCAAAGGGUCCUGUAAGCAGAGAAGCCGUGGUUGUUACGAUCUGCUGAGGUAACGCCUUACUUCGCCUAGAUUUCCUCAAGA